rnacentral:rRNA from 1 species
GGUUGGCUCAGAAGCAGCCAUCCUUUAAAGAGUGCGUAACAGCUCACUAGUCGAGUGACCCUGCGCCGAAAAUGUACCGGGGCUAAGCCUGAUACCGAAACUGCGGAUUGUAGGAAACUAUAGUGGUAGGGGAGCGUUGUAUACGAGCAGAAGCCGUACCGUGAGGAGCGGUGGAUUGUAUAGAAGUGAGAAUGCCGGUGUGAGUAGCGAGAUGUAGGUGAGAAUCCUACACACCGAAAGCCCAAGGAUUCCAGGGGAAGGUUCGUCCGCCCUGGGUAAGUCGGGACCUAACGCGAGGCCGAAAGGCGUAGUGGAUGGAAAGCAGGCGAAAGAUUCCUGCACCCGUAUAUGGAGCGAAGGAGUGACGGAGACGGAUAGUGUGACCCUCUUAAUGGAUUGAGGGCGAAGCGAAGCGGCUGGUUACCAGGCAAAUCCGGUAACCAUAAGGCUAGAGCGUGACAGGUAAGCGAAAUCUUCGGAAAGUAGCGAAGCACAUGAUGACGGCUUCCAGGAAAAGCUUCUGGCAAUGCAUAUGCGGCCCGUACCAAAACCGACACAGGUGGGCAGGGAGAGAAUCCCGAGGUGAGCGAGAGAACUGUUGCCAAGGAACUCGGCAAAAUGACUCCGUAAGUUAGCGAGAAGGAGUGCUUAAGCAAUUAAGCCGCAGUGAAGAGGCCCAAGCGACUGUUUAACUAAAACACAGCUCUCUGCGAAGUCGCAAGACGAAGUAUAGGGGGUGACACCUGCCCGGUGCUGGAAGGUUAAGAGGAUCUGUUAAGAGCGAUCUGAAGCAGUGAUCCGAAGCCCCAGUGAACGGCGGCCGUAACUAUAACGGUCCUAAGGUAGCGAAAUUCCUUGUCAGGUAAGUUCUGACCCGCACGAAAGGCGUAAUGAUUUGAACACUGUCUCGACAAUGUACCCGGCGAAAUUGUAGUACUAGUGAAGAUGCUAGUUACCUGCGACAAGACAGAAAGACCCCAUGGAGCUUUACUGCAGCUUGAUACUGGGUUUUGGUAAUUUAUGUACAGGAUAGGUGGGAUACGAAGAAGCAAGUGCGCCAGCAUUUGUGGAGUAGACGUUGGGAUACCACUCUUAAAUUAUUGAAAUUCUAACCUGUGAUCAUGAACUGGUCAGGGGACAAUGUCAGGCGGGCAGUUUGACUGGGGCGGUCGCCUCCUAAAGAGUAACGGAGGCGCCCAAAGGUUUCCUCAGCACGGACAGAAAUCGUGCAAAAGAGUGUAAAGGCAGAAGGAAGCUUAACUGGGAGACUGACAAGUCGAGCAGAUACGAAAGUAGGGCUUAGUGAUCCGGCGGUAGUGAGUGGAAAUGCCGUCGCUCAACGGACAAAAGUUACCCUGGGGAUAACAGGCUUAUCUCCCCCAAGAGUUCACAUCGACGGGGAGGUUUGGCACCUCGAUGUCGGCUCAUCGCAUCCUGGAGCUGAAGUCGGUUCCAAGGGUUGGGCUGUUCGCCCAUUAAAGCGGUACGCGAGCUGGGUUCAGAACGUCGUGAGACAGUUCGGUCCUUAUCUGUCGCAGGCGUAGGAUAUUUGAAGGGAGCUGUCCUUAGUACGAGAGGACCAGGAUGGACAUACCGAUGGUGUAUCAGUUGUCACACCAGUGGCACGGCUGAGUAGCUAAGUAUGGAAGGGAUAAACGCUGAAAGCAUCUAAGUGUGAAGUCCACCUUAAGAUAAGAUAUCCCAUUGC